GGAGCAGAUGGGUGCUGGUGUGCCCCGCGGUCUUCAAAACCGUUGAGAGGGGGUAAAAGCUUCUCAGGUGGGUUCGAUUCCUACGUGUUCC
rnacentral:tRNA from 1 species